AUGUUAAACAGCUCACUGUGCAGCUGAGGCUCUGGCAUGUCUGCAGGAAUCCUGAACUCUCUGUAAACUGCUUUUUCAUUCAACCCAACUUGGAAAAAGGCAGACACGCUGUAGUCUAAACACCCCAAGAGUCUGGAUUUGCUUUGUUCCUUAUGCGUUCCAGCACACUCUGCUCCCCUGUGAUUUUUAACAAUGCGCCUUUGUGCUUAUCUUCUGGGUUUGGCAAGGCAGUUUGUACCUCUUGGUUUUUGUCUCAACAGGAGAAAUUGCUGUCUAACUGAUCCUUUGUGGACUUCCGACCAAAACCAGGCAGUGCAACAUAUGCUACCAUGAGUCACUUCAACUCUUGGCUGCAGUCACUGCUCAAAGAGGGAACGUCUCCCAACAGGAGUGAUUCACCAUGCCUGGCCAGUCUCCUUUAAUCUGCUUCCAGUCACAUCACCUCGGGGCUGGAGCACUGGAGCAGGGCAGCUCCAGUGCUUUCCCAUGGCCUCACUGCAGAGCUGCUGUCGUCCUUGCUGACCUCCUGCAGACCUCCCAGUCUUAACAGGG
rnacentral:lncRNA from 14 species